rnacentral:rRNA from 1 species
UACGUAGGGUGCAAGCGUUAAUCGGAAUUACGUGGGCGUAAAGCGUGCGCAGGCGGUGAUGUAAGACAGGUGUGAAAUCCCCGGGCUUAACCUGGGAACUGCAUUUGUGACUGCAUCGCUGGAGUGCGGCAGAGGGGGAUGGAAUUCCGCGUGUAGCAGUGAAAUGCGUAGAUAUGCGGAGGAACACCGAUGGCGAAGGCAAUCCCCUGGGCCUGCACUGACGCUCAUGCACGAAAGCGUGGGGAGCAAACAGG